GAAAAGAAAAAGGCACUAUUGUGUCAUCAUCAUUACAGACAAAUGACAAGGGCACUGGGGAAAGGGAUGUUGCCCAAAGCCAGAUCUUGGCUCAACAGCCUACACUGGCACAAGUAAAAGGCACUCUUGCUAUUGAUGAACAGAACCCUGAUGGAAGAGAGAAGACCCUCAGUCAUAGCUUAGCUGAAAAGACUUCUGAACCUCAAGAGAAAGAAGCAGUUAUUACUAAUGAGCAGACUGAAGACAACAGUGGAUCUGACACUGAACCAGUUUCUUUAGAAAAGAGAGAGCUUGACUGUACUGUGCCAAAACUUAAGCGCUCUGACAGUGUUAUUAAAAAGUAGUGAUUGAAAAUGAAACAUCAGAAAGUGAGGAAG